GAUGAACGCUGACAGAAUGCUUAACACAUGCAAGUCUUUGGCGAAGCUGUGCUUGCACAGCCUAGCCAAGGCGGACGGGUGAGUAACGCGUAAGGAACUUGCCCUGCAGUCAGAGAUAACAGACGGAAACGACUGAUAAGACCUGGUAAAGUCAGGCGGACUCAUGUCCAGCCUGAUGAAAAGAGAUGCUGCAGGAGAGCCUUGCGUCCUAUUAGCUUGUUGGUGGGGUAACGGCCCACCAAGGCGAUGAUAGGUAGCCGGCCUGAGAGGGUGGACGGCCACAAGGGGACUGAGAUACGGCCCUUACUCCUACGGGAGGCAGCAGUGGGGAAUAUUGGACAAUGGGGGCAACCCUGAUCCAGCAAUUCUGUGUGCACGAUGAAGGUUUUCGGAUUGUAAAGUGCUUUCAGCAGGGAAGAAAAAAAUGACGGUACCUGCAGAAGAAGCGACGGCUAAAUACGUG
rnacentral:rRNA from 1 species